rnacentral:rRNA from 1 species
UACGGAGGGUGCAAGCGUUGUCCGGAUUUAUUGGGUUUAAAGGGUGCGUAGGCGGCUGAUUAAGUCAGCGGUGAAAUUCCACAGCUUAACUGUGGAACUGCCAUUGAUACUGGUUAGCUUGAGUACAGAUGAGGUAGGCGGAAUUGACAGUGUAGCGGUGAAAUGCUUAGAUAUUGUCAAGAACACCUAUUGCGAAGGCAGCUUACUACACAGUUAUUGACGCUGAGGCACGAAAGCGUGGGGAUCAAACAGG